AGCGAACGCUGGCGGCAGGCUUAACACAUGCAAGUCGAACGCCCCGCAAGGGGAGUGGCAGACGGGUGAGUAACACGUGGGAACGUACCCUUUGGUUCGGAAUAACUUGGGGAAACUCAAGCUAAUACCGGAUAAGCCCUUAUGGGGAAAGGUUUACUGCCGAAGGAUCGGCCCGCGUCUGAUUAGCUAGUUGGUGAGGUAAUGGCUCACCAAGGCGACGAUCAGUAGCUGGUCUGAGACGAUGAUCAGCCACACUGGGACUGAGACACGGCCCAGACUCCUACGGGAGGCAGCAGUGGGCAAUAUUGGACAAUGGGGGCAACCCUGAUCCAGCCAUGCCGCGUGAGUGAUGAAGGCCUUAGGGUUGUAAAGCUCUUUUACCCGGGACGAUAAUGACUGUACCGGGAGAAUAAGCCCCGGCUAACUUCGUGCCAGCCGCCGCAGUAA
rnacentral:rRNA from 1 species